rnacentral:rRNA from 1 species
UACGUAGGUGGCAAGCGUUGUCCGGAAUUACUGGGUGUAAAGGGAGCGUAGGCGGGAAUGCAAGUUGAAUGUUUAAACUAUCGGCUCAACCGGUAGUCGCGUUCAAAACUGUAUUUCUUGAGUGAAGUAGAGGCAAGCGGAAUUCCUAGUGUAGCGGUGAAAUGCGUAGAUAUUAGGAGGAACACCAGUGGCGAAGGCGGCUUGCUGGGCUUUUACUGACGCUGAGGCUCGAAAGCGUGGGUAGCAAACAGGAUUAGAUACCC